UGAGGAAUAUUGGACAAUGGGCGCAAGCCUGAUCCAGCCAUGCCGCGUGCAGGAAGAAGCAUCUAUGGUGUGUAAACUGCUUUUGUACGGGAAGAAACACUCCUUCGUGAAGGAGCUUGACGGUACCGUAAGAAUAAGGAUCGGCUAACUCCGUGCCAGCAGCCGCGGUAAUACGGAGGAUCCAAGCGUUAUCCGGAAUCAUUGGGUUUAAAGGGUCCGUAGGCGGUUUAGUAAGUCAGUGGUGAAAGCCCAUCGCUCAACGAUGGAACGGCCAUUGAUACUGCUAGACUUGAAUUAUUAGGAGGUGACUAGAAUAUGUAGUGUAGAGGUGAAAUGCUUAGAUACUACAUGGAAUACCAAUUGCGAAGGCAGGUUACUACUAAUGGAGUGACGCUGAUGGACGAAGGCGUGGGAAGCGAACA
rnacentral:rRNA from 1 species